rnacentral:piRNA from 3 species
AUAACCCAGAGGUCGAUGGAUCG